AUGGGUCCCUCUGAGGAGAGAUAAAGAGUCUAGGACUUUUCAGCUUGGAAAAGAGGAGUAUAAGGGAGGAUAUGAUCGAGGUAUACAAAAUGAUGUGUGAUGUGGA